GACGAACGCUGGCGGCGUGCCUAAUACAUGCAAGUCGAGCGAGCUUGCCUAGAUGAUUUUAGUGCUUGCACUAAAUGAAAACUAGAUACAAAGCGAGCGGCGGACGGGUGAGUAACACGUGGGUAACCUGCCCAAGAGACUGGGAUAACACCUGGAAACAGAUGCUAAUACCGGAUAACAACACUAGACGCAUGUCUAGAGUUUGAAAGAUGGUUCUGCUAUCACUCUUGGAUGGACCUGCGGUGCAUUAGCUAGUUGGUAAGGUAACGGCUUACCAAGGCAAUGAUGCAUAGCCGAGUUGAGAGACUGAUCGGCCACAUUGGGACUGAGACACGGCCCAAACUCCUACGGGAGGCAGCAGUAGGGAAUCUUCCACAAUGGACGAAAGUCUGAUGGAGCAACGCCGCGUGAACGAUGAAGGUCUUCGGAUUGUAAAGUUCUUUUAUUAAGGACGAAAGAAGUGACGGUACUUAAUGAAUAAGCUCCGGC
rnacentral:rRNA from 1 species